AUUGCCCCAGUAACGGCGAGUGAAGCGGCAACAGCUCAAAUUUGAAAUCUGGCCCCCAGGGCCCGAGUUGUAAUUUGCAGAGGAUGCUUUUGGCGAGGUGCCUUCCGAGUUCCCUGGAACGGGACGCCAUAGAGGGUGAGAGCCCCGUCUGGUUGGAUGCCGAGCCUCUGUAAAGCUCCUUCGACGAGUCGAGUAGUUUGGGAAUGCUGCUCUAAAUGGGAGGUAUAUGUCUUCUAAAGCUAAAUAUUGGCCAGAGACCGAUAGCGCACAAGUAGAGUGAUCGAAAGAUGAAAAGCACUUUGAAAAGAGGGUUAAAUAGUACGUGAAAUUGUUGAAAGGGAAGCGCUUAUGACCAGACUUGGGCCCGGUGAAUCAUCCAGCGUUCUCGCUGGUGCACUUUGCCGGGCUCAGGCCAGCAUCAGUUUGCCUCGGGGGAUAAAGGCUCCGGGAACGUGGCUCCUCCGGGAGUGUUAUAGCCCGCUGCGCAAUACCCUGGGGCGGACUGAGGUUCGCGCAUCUUGCAAGGAUGCUGGCGUAAUGGUCAUCAGCGACCCGUCUUGAAACACGGACCAAGGAGUCGUCUUCGUAUGCGAGUGUUCGGGUGUAAAACCCCUACGCGGAAUGAAAGUGAACGCAGGUGAGAGCUUCGGCGCAUCAUCGACCGAUCCUGAUGUUCUCGGAUGGAUUUGAGUAAGAGCAUACGGGGCCGGACCCGAAAGAAGGUGAACUAUGCCUGUAUAGGGUGAAGCCAGAGGAAACUCUGGUGGAGGCUCGCAGCGGUUCUGACGUGCAAAUCGAUCGUCAAAUAUGGGCAUGGGGGCGAAAGACUAAUCGA
rnacentral:rRNA from 1 species